rnacentral:rRNA from 1 species
GACGAACGCUGGCGGCGCGCUUAACACAUGCAAGUCGAGCGAUCGGCCAGGGGCUUGCCCCUGGUACGGAGCGGCGAACGGGUGAGUAACACGUGGGUGACCUGCCCUCGGUUCUGGGAUAACUCCGGGAAACCGGUGCUAAUACCAGAUGGCCUCCGCAGCUUUCGGGCAGCGGAGAAAAGGUAGCUUCGGCCUCCGACCGAGGAUGGGCCCGCGGCGGAUUAGCUUGUUGGUGGGGUAACGGCCCACCAAGGCGACGAUCCGUAGCUGGUGUGAGAGCAUGACCAGCCACACUGGGACUGAGACACGGCCCAGACUCCUACGGGAGGCAGCAGUGGGGAAUCUUGCGCAAUGGGCGAAAGCCUGACGCAGCGACGCCGCGUGCGGGAAGAAGGCCUUCGGGUUGUAAACCGCUUUCAGGAGGGACGAAGCCCCUCGGGUGAAUAGCCUAGAGGGUGACGGUACCUCCAGAAGAAGCCCCGGCUAACUACGUGCCAGCCGCCGCGGUAACAC